rnacentral:rRNA from 1 species
AUGGAAUUUUCUGCAUCUUAGUGGCGGACUGGUGAGUAACACGUGAGCAACCUGCCUUUCAGAGGGGGAUAACGUUUGGAAACGAACGCUAAUACCGCAUAACAUUGCUUCAAGGCAUCUUGGAGCAGUCAAAGGAGCAAUCCGCUGAAAGAUGGGCUCGCGUCCGAUUAGGUAGAUGGUGAGGUAACGGCCCACCAUGCCUACGAUCGGUAGCCGGGUUGAGAGACUGAACGGCCACAUUGGGACUGAGAUACGGCCCAGACUCC